UGAGGCUUGAAUUCUCACCGCGUGUCGGGACGCUCCUUGAGUCCGUUCCUCGGAUUUUGGMSGAUCUGGUGCGGGACCACAYGGGAGACCAAUUUCGGUCCCGUAUCCUGGAGGAUGGGGGGACGACGAUUUGUGACGCCCAGGAACACGUGCCCUCGGCCACAAGGCUUCGGGCGCCCCUUGCGUUCGAAGACUCGAUGGCUCACGGGAUUCUGCAAUUCACACCAAGUAUCGCAUUUCGCUWAUUUCUUCAUCGAUGCGAGAGCCGAGAUAUCCGUUGCCGAAAGUCUUUUUAUACUUUAUAUUGCCCGUGACGUCCGCGCACACACCGUCUCCGGGUACCCGAACSCUUGCUGUUUUUGUUGCAUGUUCCUUGACACUUUUCAUGCCGGGGUUUUGUGAUAUCCAGAAACUAAGCGCAUGAUCUARCCGGGAUUAGGACCGUACGCCGAGCCUUGGAAUCSGCAGSAACAGGAUCGRCGAA
rnacentral:misc_RNA from 1 species